CCCCCUGUCGUGGGCAAAUACGUGUAAGUCGUACGCUUCUUUUUCCACCGGAGCUUGCUCCACCGGAAAAAGAGGAGUGGCGAACGGGUGAGUAACACGUGGGUAACCUGCCCAUCAGAAGGGGAUAACACUUGGAAACAGGUGCUAAUACCGUAUAACAAUCGAAACCGCAUGGUUUUGAUUUGAAAGGCGCUUUCGGGUGUCGCUGAUGGAUGGACCCGCGGUGCAUUAGCUAGUUGGUGAGGUAACGGCUCACCAACGGCCACGGAUGUGCAAUAGCUCGACCUGAGAGGGUGAUUCGGCCACAUUGGGACUUGAGAACACGGCCCAAACUCCUACGGGAGGGCAGCAGUAGGGAAUCUUCGGCAAUGGAACCGAUAAGUUCUUGACCGAAGCAAACGCCGCGUGAGUGAAAGAUAGGUCUUUCGGAAUCGUAAAACUUCUGUUGUUUAGAGAAGAACAAAGGAUGAGAAGUAACUGCUUCAUCCCUUGACGGUAUUCUUAACCAGAUAAGCCACGGCUAACUACGUGCCAGCAGCCGCGGUAAUACGUAGGUGGCAAGCGUUGUCCGGAUUUAUUGGGCGUAAAGCGAGCGCAGGCGGUUUCUUAAGUCUGAUGUGAAAGCCCCCGGCUCAACCGGGGAGGGUCAUUGGAAACUGGGAGACUUGAGUGCAGAAGAGGAGAGUGGAAUUCCAUGUGUAGCGGUGAAAUGCGUAGAUAUAUGGAGGAACACCAGUGGCGAAGGCGGCUCUCUGGUCUGUAACUGACGCUGAGGCUCGAAAGCGUGGGGAGCAAACAGGAUUAGAUACCCUGGUAGUCCACGCCGUAAACGAUGAGUGCUAAGUGUUGGAGGGUUUUCCGCCCUUCAGUGCUGCAGCUAACGCAUUAAGCACUCCGCCUGGGGAGUACGACCGCAAGGUUGAAACUCAAAGGAAAUUGACGGGGGCCCGCACAAGCGGUGGAGCAUGUGGUUUAAUUCGAAGCAACUGCGAAGAACCUUACCAAGGUCUUGACAUCCUUUGAACCUACUACUAGAGAUAGAGCUUCCCCUUUCGGGGGCAAAGAUGACCAGGUGGUGCAAUGGUUGUCUGAUCAGCUCGUGUCGUGAGAAUGUUGGGUUAAGAUUCCCCGCAACGAGCUGCAACCCUUAUUGUUAGUUUGCCAUACAUUCAGAUUGGGCACUCUAGCAAGACUGCCGGUGACAAAACCGGAGGAAUGGUGGGGAUGAGACGCUCCAAAUGCACUUCAUGAGUCCCCUUAUGACACACAUGGGCUACACACGUGCUACAAUGGGAAGUACAACGAGUUGCGAAGUCGCGAGGCUAAGCUAAUCUCUUAAAGCUUCUCUCAGUUCGGAUUGCAGGCUGCAACUCGCCUGCAUGAAGCCGGAAUCGCUAGUAAUCGCGGAUCAGCACGCCGCGGUGAAUACGUUCCCGGGCCUUGUACACACCGCCCGUCACACCACGAGAGUUUGUAACACCCGAAGUCGGUGAGGUAACCUUUUGGAGCCAGCCGCCCUAACUUCAAAAAAGG
rnacentral:rRNA from 1 species